rnacentral:rRNA from 1 species
GCAGUAUUCUAACUGUGCUAAGGUAGCAUAAUCAUUAGUCUUUUAAUUGAAGACUGGUAUGAAUGGCUUAACGAGAAAUUAACUUUUUUUGUUAUAAAAAUUGAAUUUAAUUUUUUAGUGAAAAAGCUAAAAUUGUUCAGAAAGACGAGAAGACCCUAUAGAGUUUUAUGUUUUAAAAAAUAAAUUUUUAUUAGAUUUCUGAAUUAUUAAUUUUUAUAAACAUUUUGUUGGGGCGACAUAAAGAUAAAUAAAACUCUUUAUAUUAAAAAUUUUUAUAAAAAUAUUCUUGAUCCUUUAUAAGAGAUUAUAAGAAAAAAUUACCUUAGGGAUAACAGCGUAAUCUUUUUUGAGAGUUCUAAUCGACAAAAAGGUUUGCGACCUCGAUGUUGGACUAAAAUUUAGGCAGGGUGCAGCAGUUCUGCUUUAAGGUCUGUUCGACCAAUA